rnacentral:rRNA from 2 species
AUACGACUCUCGGCAACGGAUAUCUCGGCUCUCGCAUCGAUGAAGAACGUAGCGAAAUGCGAUACUUGGUGUGAAUUGCAGAAUCCCGUGAACCAUCGAGUCUUUGAACGCAAGUUGCGCCCGAGGCCUUUAGGUCGAGGGCACAUCUGCUUGGGCGUCAAACAUCUAGUCGCCACCC